CACAUGACUCUCGGCAACGGAUAUCUUGGCUCUCGCAUCGAUGAAGAACGUAGCAAAAUGCGAUACCUGGUGUGAAUUGCAGAAUCCCGUGAACCAUCGAGUUUUUGAACGCAAGUUGCGCCCGAGGCCUUUUGGUCGAGGGCACGUCUGCCUGGGCGUCACGU
rnacentral:rRNA from 9 species